GUUUCUAUGGUGUAAUCAUAUAAUAUUUUCAUUAUUAAGAUGCAUUUUUUGCUGGAAAUA
rnacentral:tRNA from 1 species